AUUGAACGCUGGCGGCAUGGCUAAAACAUGCAAGUCGAGCGCGAAAGUGGAGCAAUCCAUGAGUAGAGCGGCGAAAGGGUGAGUAAUAGGUUUCUACGUGCCUUGAGGUCGAGGAUAGCCAGGGGAAACUCUGGGUAAUACUCGAUGUGAUCGAGAGAUCAAAGGCUUGCCGCCUCAAGAGCGGGGAACCUCCUAUCAGGUAGUUGGUGAGGUAACGGCUCACCAAGCCUUUGACGGGUAGCGGGUGUGAGAGCAUGGCCCGCCACAUCGAAACUGAGACACUGUUCGGACUCCUACGGGAGGCUGCAGUAACGAAUCUUCCGCAAUGCGCGAAAGCGUGACGGAGCAAUG
rnacentral:rRNA from 1 species